rnacentral:rRNA from 1 species
UACGAGGGGGGCGAGCGUUGUUCGGAAUUAUUGGGCGUAAAGGGUGCGUAGGCGGUUCCGCAAGUCCUGUGUGAAAUCUUCGGGCUCAACUCGAAGUCUGCACGGGAAACUGCGGGGCUUGAGUGUGGGAGAGGUGAGUGGAAUUCCCGGUGUAGCGGUGAAAUGCGUAGAUACCGGGAGGAACACCUGUGGCGAAAGCGGCUCACUGGACCAUAACUGACGCUGAUGCACGAAAGCUGGGGGAGCAAACAGG